rnacentral:rRNA from 1 species
GAAUUUUGGACAAUGGGGCAACCCUUAUCCAGCCAUCCCGCGUGUGCGAUGAAGGCCCCCGGGUUGUUAAGCACCUUUGGCCGGGAAGAAAAGGCCCUGGCUAAUACCUGGAGCCUCUGACGGUUCCUGCAGAAACAGCACCGGCUAACUUCGUGCCAGCAGCCGCGGUAAUACGUAGGGUGCAAGCGUUAAGCGGAAUUACUGGGCGUAAAGCGUGCGCAGGCGGUUUGGCAAGAAGGAUGGGAAAUCCCAGGGCUUAACCUUGGAACUGCAUUCUUAACUGCCAGGCUAGAGUAUGUCAGAGGGGGGUAGAAUUCCACGUGUAGCAGUGAAAUGCGUAGAGAUGUGGAGGAAUACCGAUGGCGAAGGCAGCCCCCUGGGAUAAUACUGACGCUCAUGCACGAAAGCGUGGGGAGCAAACA